rnacentral:rRNA from 1 species
UACGUAGGGUGCGAGCGUUAAUCGGAAUUACUGGGCGUAAAGCGUGCGCAGGUGGUUCGUCAAGUCUGAUGUGAAAGCCCCGGGCUCAACCUGGGAAUGGCAUUGGAAACUAGCGGGCUUGAGUGUGGCAGAGGGGGGUGGAAUUCCACGUGUAGCAGUGAAAUGCGUAGAGAUGUGGAGGAACACCGAUGGCGAAGGCAGCCUCCUGGGCCAACACUGACGCUCAUGCACGAAAGCGUGGGGAGCAAACAGG